GGUGCGUCCGGCGGGCGGGGUGCGCUGGGGCGGCGGGAGCGGCGGCGGCGACAGCGGCAGCGACAGCAGCGACAUCGGGAUCGGGAUCGGGAUCGGAGCGGGUGAUGUGCCAUGGCUGAUCCUUCCUCCAAAUCCGACCUUGUUGCAGCUUUGGCUCUCUUUGCUGGGGAUCCAACCUACUUUCAGCUGGAUCAUGGAACCUUUGGACAGGCAGUGCCUAAACCUAAAACAGGUAUGGAAAUUAAAC